GAUGAAGAACGUAGCGAAAUGCGAUAAGUAAUGUGAAUUGCAGAAUUCAGUGAAUCAUCGAAUCUUUGAACGCACAUUGCGCCCGCCAGUAUUCUGGCGGGCAUGCCUGUCCGAGCGUCAUUUCAACCAUCAAGCCCCGGGCUUGUGUUGGGGACCUGCGUCCGACGCAGGCCCUGAAAACCAGUGGCGGGCUCGCUGUCCACACCGAGCGUAGUAACUAACCUCGCUAUGGAGUGGCGCGGGCGCCUGCCGUAAAACCCCCAAUUUUUACAGGUUGACCUCGGAUCAGGUAGGGAUACCCGCUGAACUUAAGCAUAUCAAUAAGCGGAGGA
rnacentral:misc_RNA from 1 species